rnacentral:rRNA from 1 species
AUUGAACGCUGGCGGCAGGCCUAACACAUGCAAGUCGAGCGGAGCGGCGGACGGGUGAGUAAUGCCAAGGAAUCUGCCUGGUAGUGGGGGAUAACGUCCGGAAACGGGCGCUAAUACCGCAUACUAUCAGAUGAGCCUAGGUCGGAGUAGCAAGUUGGUGGGGUAAAGGCCUACCAAGGCGACGAUCCGUAACUGGUCUGAGAGGAUGAUCAGUCACAUUGGGACUGGAACACGGUCCAGACUCCUACGGGAGGAAGCGGUGGGGAAUAUUGGACAAUGGGAGAAAGCCUGAUCCAGCCAUGCGGCGUGUAUGAAGAAGGUCGUUGGAUUGUAAAGCACUUUAAGUUGGGAGGCGUUACCAGCAGAAUAAGCACCGGCUAACUUCGUGCCAGCAGCCGCGGUAAGUC